rnacentral:pre_miRNA from 1 species
UUACCUCAUAUUUGUAUGGAAUGGGAUCAUUAGCCUACGUUUACUGCUAGGGGCGCUGUUCCAACUGCAUACAAAAUUGAGCUA